CUGAUAUAAACACCGACAGUCUGCUCAACAGUGUGAGCGGGUGCAGGUGUGUGUUCAUUACUCUCCUCUGAGAAAAGUCUACUCCACAAAAAGGGAAAGGAUUCGAACCGACAGAAAGGCGACUCUAAAAGCAAAGGAUCUGAUCUAUUGUUAUAUUCCGCUUGCCGUUUGUCAAACAAACCCAAGCGUCAUGGGAAAAGGCGAGAGUGAGGAGUGGGACGAGAAGCACCCGGACACGAGGCAAACUCAGCCCCAGAGACACGAGGACAGUGACAAAGACAGUGACAAAUCAGGGAGCAGUUGUCCCAAGUGCUGCUUGCGGACAAGGGACUGUCUGAUGAGCGGAGAGUGUGGUAGAGCACUUCAGAUCUCCAGCGUCGUCGCCAUGUGUGGAAUGUGCAUCCGGAUGUGGAUGUAACCUAACCUUGGACAUCAGUAGCUGUUUUUUCCGGCCUAUUCUCAGCAUCCACCAGCAACUUUUGAUUAGAGAUAACUCUCUAUCCAUAACAUAUUUAUUUAAGAUAAAGAAAUUCACUGUAUAUACACAACAAACUAGAAAGAUAAUCAUUAGAAAUGAAGGUGAUAUUGAUCUGCAUGUGUUUGUAAAAUGUUUUUUCCGAAGCUUAUCCGAUUGAUCCAAAGAUCCAAAUCACUUUCAAUAAUGUAAAAUACUGUGUGUGUAACUUAACGCAAUAAGAAACCCUAGCAUCCUGUCCUACAUUAUCAGUGAGAUGACCAGAUGGUAGGGGAAGUAAUGACAAAAACUUUAAAUAAAGCUUCAAGUAACAAGGACAAAAGAGUACUCGAUUCAAUGCCACUAAUGAUAGAGAGCUGUGGUUAAUUAAAAAAAGGCCAUGACAAGCAUGAUGUAACUAAAUGACAUCCUUUGCUGUCAACACCUACCUAAACAUGAAGGUCAUUGGGAACAAAGUUGCUCCUUGCACACACAACAAGCAGAAGAAAAUCAUCAUUUUCAAAUAUAAGAACAUUUUAAAAUUCUACAGUGACAGAUGCAUGAAAAAAA